AGUUACCCUUCUCGCUCCCAAAGUGGGGGACGGGAGAAGUGGGGGGGGGGACAGGAAGGAAAGGAGAAGGACUUUUUCCUCCCUGCUAACGUAUCAUCGGCCAUUAAAAAAAAAAUCAAUAAUUCAACUCUUAAUAUUGUUGGCACCAGUGUUCUACUUUGAUGAAGGUGUUUUUAAUCAGCUCAACUAAUUUACUUAAUAUCCCCCUUUAAUGGGCUUUGGCCAAGAGCUUAGGCCUGGAAUUUGGCUUUCGACAGAAGUUUGUGUAAAUGUAAUUUCGUGUAAAUGUAAUUUUAAGCGGUUCACCGUAAUGGAAGAGGGAGGGUGUAGUUUUUUUCAAAACGUAUGAUAAAAAUUGAUAUACAGAGAAGUGGAGUGACGCGUGUAAGCCUCAUGUGGAGAGACCCUCUUGUCCCCAUGGGACUGUUCAGGGGCUUCCCUCCCCAGCCAGGAGACGUGGAAGCCCUGGCGAGGUCUGGCCCCCUUGUGCUGUGUGGUGGGCAGAGGAGGAAAGCAAUAACCGAGAACUCUGAAUCCCCUCUAAUGGUUCUUCACUGCUUUGUGCCUCCCCCAAGCCUUGACUCCUUUCUCUCUCCUAGAAAGCAUACAGGACCAAGUGCCCAUCACCCACCUGAGAUUAGACCAUGACCUCCUGAAGCCUGUGUGGGUGUUUUCAUUCAUACCUCAUCGUAUUUGUUGGAUGCCUACUCUGUGCCUGCAACGGUGCUAAGCUCACCGGCACCUUCCACACGGACGGGCCACUGUUCACCCACUCGCUAAACGUUAAAAGGAGACCGGUGCCAGGUGGUGGGAAUACAAUGAAGCUUCUUUUCAAACUCAUGGUUGACUGCCUCGAUCCCUUUUAUCUUCUAAAACCUGCCUGCCUGGUUAAAAGUUCUAGAAGGUUUCCAGCGUCCAAAGCUGUUCAGCGUUCUUCCGAGAAAACAUCCCGCCACAUGUAUUUGAUUUUGAGUAUCAAAACAAGAUGUGUUUAAAAAGAACAGAAGCCUAAUAAUUAAGCAGCUUACUUACCAGGGUGGCAGCAGCAGGAAGAGAAGGGAUCACUGUGAAGACGUGACAGAGGGCAGAUCAACCAUCCAGUUCUCGUGGGUGAACGGCUAUUGGCUGGAGCGAAGAGACCGCAGAAGGAGAUGGACGGAGCAACGAACUAAAACAGAGAUCGGCCAGAGGAGCGAAUUGGUAGAGAAACAAAUGGCAGUUCAUCAUUACUACCAUUAUUACUGAGAGCUACACCCUCACAGAAUCAACGGCCUAAUAGUCAUAGCUAAUAUUUAAUAAACACGUAUACACCACGUAUUCA